GACGAACGCUGGCGGCGUGCUUAACACAUGCAAGUCGAACGGAAAGGCCCUGCUUGCAGGGUACUCGAGUGGCGAACGGGUGAGUAACCCGUGGGUGAUCUGCCCUGCACUUCGGGAUAAGCUUGGGAAACUGGGUCUAAUACCGGAUAGGAGCCAUCUUUAGUGUGGUGGUUGGAAAGUUUUUUCGGUGUAGGAUGAGCUCGCGGCCUAUCAGCUUGUUGGUGGGGUAAUGGCCUACCAAGGCGGCGACGGGUAGCCGGCCUGAGAGGGUGUACGGCCACAUUGGGACGGAGAUACGGCCCAGACUCCUACGGGAGGCAGGAGUGGGGAAUAUUGCACAAUGGGCGCAAGCCUGAUGCAGCGACGCCGCGUGGGGGAUGAAGGCCUUCGGGUUGUAAACUCCUUUCGCUAGGGACGAAGCUUUGUUGUGACGGUACCUAGAUAAGAAGCACCGGCUAACUACGUG
rnacentral:rRNA from 1 species